rnacentral:rRNA from 1 species
UACAGAGGGUGCUAGCGUUAAUCGGAUUUACUGGGCGUAAAGCGUGUGUAGGCGGUUCGUUAAGUCGGAUGUGAAAGCCCUGGGCUCAACCUAGGAAUUGCAUUCGAUACUGGCGGGCUAGAGUACGGUAGAGGGCGGCGGAAUUCCGGGUGUAGCGGUGAAAUGCGUAGAUAUCCGGAGGAACACCGAUGGCGAAGGCAGCUCGCUGGGACGGUACUGACGCUGAGGCGCGAAAGCGUGGGGAGCAAACAGG